UCAUUGACACUUUCCAGUAGACACAGGCUCCUCUGAGGGUGCGUGUAGCAUGUAGUAUCUAUGGUGCUGUGUUCCUCUUCCCCUUCUGCCUGCAGGCAAGAGAAGGAAAGAGGGAGCACGUAGGGAUCACUAAGGACAAUCCAGGCAGCCGACUCUGAGAGUCCAACUAACAGAUGUGCUAACCGGGCGUCCUGGUAAGUUUUAGAAAAUGCAGAUGCCACUAAAUUCUCCAGCUAUGACCUUUGUAGAACAGACCAGCAAGAAAUCUGCUUUCAGAGUCUUCUGGGGACAGCAGGAAUGAGGAAGAGGGGAGAGUAUCUCCUCUCCAGGUACCUGGUGAUGCUGGACCUCUCCGGCUGUGCCAGGAGCAUGCAUGAAAAGCAGAGUCCUUCACAGGCACGUAAAGGAUUGGUCAGCAGCCAGGAAACGUGGGUUCUAGAAUCUGACUUCAGCAACUGAGAUGUCUAAUGUGGAUCUACAUACCAGCUUUGGAUGCAUGGAUUCAGAUUGAACUUAGGGUAUCUUCCAUGCUAAGCAAAUGUUUGGCCACUGAAUACACCUCCAGCCAACAAGCACAUCCUGGAUAGAUGGAUGAGUAGAUGAGUAUGGAGUGGAUCCAAUACUAGACAGCAAACCCGAGUCCUCGUGUGUGAGCCUCCUCCAUUUCCUAAAGCCCUUGCCCUCAAGAGUACAUGGGCCUUGUAAUAGUCUUUCUUUUGGGGAGGGGAGGUGUUCGAGACAGGAUUUCUCUACAUAGCCUUGGCCACCCUAGAGCUUGUUCUGAAGACUAGACUGGCCUUGAACUCACAGAGACCUGCUUGGAAUUAAAGUGCUGGAAUUAAAGGCCUGCACCACCACCAUCACCUUGCUCGGCCUUAUAAUAUUCUUGCUCAGUCCAGUGACAAGGAAGUACCAGACCGCUCCAAAUGGUGGGACUCUCUCCAGAAUAACCCCUGCAGCUGAACGAGAACAUUGGUCAUGGCAGAACAGAGAAUGCCACGUGACAACAGCCCUGAUUAAAAUGGCAUGACAACUAAAUGACCACAGACAAGAGACAAACGGACAGAAAGUGCACUCUUGGGACAACUGCUGAAUACAGGACACACAGAUGAGUCAAUGGACAUUUCAGCACAACAUCCUCAGACUCUAACCUCGCUUCCUUGGAUCCUUUCACCCAGCAGCACCUGCCUUUAAUGACUCAUUGUGUACUCGACUGACUCGUCUUGCUUAUUGCCUGCCUCCCACAGCAAAGCCUCGGUCUAGGACAGCAGUGAGUUUCACAGCUUCUGGUCUCUGUGCUAUGACAGCAUCUGAGCAGGGCAGACCUACCACAAAGAAUCAGCGAUGAAUAAAUGGUGCAUUGGGUGAUCUGCCAGACCAUGCUUCCCUGGCUCCAAAAUAAAGGCAUCUAACUAAAGGUCUUACAACCCCCAGUUUCGCAUCAUGUGCUGCGACUCGAGCUCAGCUCCGAGACAGAAAGUCAGCGGGCAUCACGGAGGCCCUUGACGGUAGCUGGAAUCUUCCCAGGUGCACCCGCAGUCCACAGGUGAGAUGACGCUGCUUCUCCCAGCACUGGGUAGAAGAAGCUGUUUGUCAGGACAAGGCAUCUGCAGAUCAGCACUGGACAGCAGCUGGGGCAGAAAGGCAGAGCCUGUCACUGCUCUAGGGAAGCCUAGAGAGAAAGUUGGCUCUGGAGUCUGAUGAGCACCUCAGCUUGAGACUGGGCUCUCUUCCCCAGCUGUGCAGGGCUUUAGGCAAGACCUUCCACAUCUCUGAGCCUCUUUUUCUUCUCUAGGAGAACAACUGGGUCCAUCUGGGUCCAGGCCUGCAUCCAUCUGGGGUUGGAAUUUAGAUUCAGAAAAACUUGCAGUGGUUGAGAGUUUGAGAGUUAAGGUGUUUCUCUGGGGCAAACUCAUUGAAUUCUUGGAAAAGCAAAUCAGCAAACCAUGCCGCUGGGAGGCAGCGGAACCACUAAGACAGGUGGGGUUUAUGGGAAGCAUACUGGGUAUUUGGAGUGUUCUGGGAACCAUGUGUCUGUCUGUCUGUCUGUCUGUCUCUCUAUCUUUCUCUAUCUUUGUUUCUGUCCUUGUCUCUGUCUCUGCCCCCCUCAACAUACUUCCCAGAAUGCAGUUCAAGAUUUUGCUCUCCCAAAUGUUUCUGUUAUCAAACAAGGAGAGAAGGAGGAAGACCAAGAGAGGCCCAGUGAGAUGCAAACUGGGCAACUGAUGGAUCUUCCUAUCCCAGACCUUUCCAUGGCUGCAUUUCCUGGCCUAUGGUUCUCUAAGAUACCCACAUUCUUAUAAUACACUCUUCUUUUGCUCCAUUGCUUGUGGAGGGAUUUCCACUGUAUGUAGACUACAGCUCCAGCCCCCAUAGGCUUUUUUUGCAAAAGUGCCUCCCAACCGCUUCCCCCCAAAAAUGGAAUCUGCUUCCCCUCUACUGGUCCUGAGAGUGACAUGAGGCAUGGUGGGAUUUCUGCUUGAACAUCAGGAAGACCUAAUACACUUCACUUUGUGUUCUAAGGGAUCUAGCUGCUAUGUAAGAAGGGUCACUGCCCUGAGACUUCCAUGUUCUGAGAAAGCAUGAGCUGAGUCAGGUGGAGAAUUACUGGAGGCCUCAGCUGGCCCAGGCAUCCCAGCCCAUGCUCCAAACAUGCGAAAUAACACUCUUUCUCGAAUGUCUCAGCCUGGAAGACAGCUCAUAGAGUUGCCCAUUGGCAGUUGAGCUGUCCCCACUGCAGGGUGCUGACACACUGACCAACAGGGAGCUGUUGUGUUUGUCACUAUGUCCCGGAUACCUUGUUAGGCAACAGUAAAUAAGUGAAACAAACUGAAUCCAAAAGGAGGGCCAAUCCUCUCUACACACGGCCACUGAGUUGUAGGAUAGUGAAGGAAAUACCCAGGGUGCAAGGCCCAACCUUGUCUCUCUUACUGGGAACGCUGUAUCAUUCCAUGCAUUAUAACUAACCCCCCCAACUGUACCCCAUCUGUACCCACAAACUAGCUCAGCACUGGGACUUCGUGGAACAACCUGCACAGACACACACUACUCUUCUCCUCUUGUCAGUACCUUUACUAAGCAGUGAACAUUCACCUCGAAACGGCUAAUAACCAUGAAAACACGCUCCACUUCCCCAGUAAUCAGGGAAAUGAAAAUCAUCAAGAGUCAGACCCACCUUCCUGCUCACCGGAUUGGGAAGUGAAGGUGAAUAACAAUGGCCCUAGACAAGGGCGGGGUACACUGAGGUCUCAGAAGCCAGACAACAAGCAAUUCGAAAGGAAGACUAGCAGUAUCUAUGAAAAUAGAAAAUGUGCGUGUCCAUCAACGCUGCAAUUCUACUUCUGAGUGCAUGCUCUAAGGAAAUAUUUAGACAUGGUACAUACAGGAAAAGAUGUGUGCAAAAGUAUUCUCUGUGGAAUCCCUAUAGCACAGGAAGUUUUCGACGGAUCUCCCAAGAGGAGCAAUCAAGCCAGACUCAGUGGCUCAGGCCUUAAUUCUGUUUCUUUGGAGGAUGAACUAGGAGAUCUCAAGUUUGAGAUCAGCAUCAACUACAUAGAGUGUUCGGGAUUAGCCUGGGCUAAGUAGGGAGAGCCUGUCUUAAUGAAUAAGUCACACAGAAAUUCCUGAAUAGCCAGUACCUCCCUGCCUGCUGUUCAAGACAGCUGAUAGAAUAGCCAGCACCUAUGCUGUCCUAAGUCCAGAACAUGGAUGUGUACACAGAUGACACACAUAACAAGACCAUGAAGUCUCUAAGGUGUGCUGCUAAGUGAAAGGGGCAUCUUCAAAGUAUGUUAUCUGGGUAAACAGCUCCACAAAAGUGAAAAUACAAAAGGGAAGAUGAAAGUGCAAAUGUUAUGGUGGGAAAAAACAACCUCAGAGAGUGAUAGAGUGUAUUUCUUGGGCAGGGGAAGUGUUCUCUAGUAAGCCAGCGGGUGUUUGGACCAAGGGAAACAUUUGUUUCUUUUAUUUUGACUUCUUAGUAAUAACAGUGUAUGUGUGUGUUUCUUGUGUUGUUAAAAAUACUUUUACAAAAGGCACUGUGGUCUUCUAAGUUGGUGGAGACAGAUGAAGAGCGUGCUUACUAAGAGAACACAGGAACAAUUUAGGAGUGAGCGGGUCUGUAGGGCGCCAGUCCUUAGAGGAGGCUGUGUGGAAGAGCCAUCCUCCCUCCUAGGGCCUGUGGAACACGACUGCCUGAAGAGGAGAAGCCAGACAAGUACCAGCCGGGUGUCCAGCAGCUAGGGAGCUGCAUCAAGAGCUUCUGGCCCUGACAGAUCAGGUGACUUCGGAGAGCUUUCUGGCCUGGCUGGCCUCCCCAAGCUUUAUUGGCUGGAAUUGCUGAAAUGUCCUAUUUGUUGUGCCCAAGAGGCUGGAUAGUCAAGGUAUGGGGCAUGAGAGAUAUAGGACUUGGGGAGUGUCUGUUAUUAUACGCGCUCAUGCACUCAUCCCUCCUGGUCACACAAAAAGACUUCCUAUCCAUCUGAUGCAUGGUGUGUAUUCUGUCUUCAGAACUCAUCGUAUUCAGCCACUAACAACUUAAGCUCACUAAGGUUCUCAGCACCAGCUCUUCUUUGCAAGCCAAAGUCGUUCUGGCUAGAAGGCUCUAAAAAGCUCGUCUAGUUUAAGCCUUGCCCAUUGUAGAGAAAGGAGUGGAGACAUGACUUAUUCUGGAGUCCAGCUAGGAGGCAAAGCCAGGCGUGAGAUGUGGAAGAUGCUGGUGCCCCUCCCCGCAACAUCUUUAUCUGCACCUUCUCUUCAUCUUUGUGUUCCAAGUUCAACUGAUAAUGGAAAAAUGGAUGAGCAGUGAGUAGGGACAAACCUUUAGACUCUAGAGUUUAGAGGCUUUUGUGAGUCUCUCACAGAGAAAGAAAGGAGAAGCAGUCUUCUCAGGGAUGAAAGGGGAAGAGUCUCUCUGAUGAUAGCUCAGUUGCCUGGAGAAGGGAGGGAGGAUGCAGAGGGCAAAGAAUUGAGGCAGUUGGGGGGUUGUGUGUAUUGCUAGAUGCUCACUGGAUUGACCAGUAGUGACCAGCACUGACCAGCACUGACCAGCAUUGACCAGCACUGACCAGCAAUGGGUCAGGACACCAAUGCUGGGAGAGGAAACAGGACUUAUAAAACUUGUCUAGGACAAGAGUUCCUAAACUUGCACUCCUCAGAUGACAUUAGGGACAUUUAAAGUAUCACUUCGAGUUUCCGACUAGAGACUCUGAGGUGAGUCAGCAUGUAGUCUCAUUUUAGAUCUACAUCUAACUAGCCAAGAGGCAAAUAUUUCUCUUGGAAACCACUUUCCCACUCUGGGAAGAGGGCAGAAAGGCUCCCUCGUUCCCACAGAGUCGUCAUUGCUUUUCUGAAGAUCUGCAAAUGCAUGAGACCUUGGACUUGGGGCGCUAAUGAGUAGGUCAGGGGACAUAAUGAGAACUCGAGGCCCCUCCCAGGUUAAGCAGGCACCAGUUGGAAGCCUAAUUAGUAUAUAGACGGCUGCCAUCUCUCGCUUACAGCACACCCUGGCACCUCUGAGCCAAGCUUGCUAACUUGGGAUGGAAGUGAUUUUCCCAGAAGCACCCAGGUCACAGCCUUGCAGAAAGAAAUGAAUCUACAGAAAUGACCACAGCAGUGCGGCUGCCCAGUCAGACACACCUAAGCUGGCCUUCAAUAGGUACUCACGGGCUAGCAAGAGGAUUCCACAGGGAAAAGAGCUCACUGCCAUGCCUGACAGUCUGAGUUCUCUCCCUAGGGCCCUCAUGUUGGAAGGAAAGAAAUGACUCCCAGAAGUUGUCUUCUGAUUUCCACAUGCACACGCUGGUACUCUGCCAAGUAUCGCUAGGCUUCCAUUACUUGUGUAAACACUGAGGAAAUGCCUUUUGUAGCUCAGACCAUCAGGAGCAGCCUCCCAGAGUGACCCCCUCUAUCCGAGGCAUUUCCCUUCACUUUCCCACUGACAGCCUGCCAUUGCGGCAGCAGAGUUAGAGGCUAUACCUGGGCCAGGCAUCAAUCUGACCCCGAAUCACCCAUGGGAUCCCCGAUGCCAACCGACAAAGUCCCUACCCAACGGUGGAUGUCCCUGCUCCUUCUAAGGCUUCAUAAUGACAAAAGAAACACACAUGUAAUCAGACAUCUUGGCUUGAUGUUUGAGGGAAGCUCUUUCACAGCCUAGCUAUUGGGACACCGGGCAGAAGCAGGAACUGCAGUUGCGGCCAUCUCCACAGUCACACGGGGAACUAGCUACACCACAGCACAUGUUGCUGAGAAAGGUCUGCGAGGUCAGGCACACUGAUUUUGCGUUUUGUCUU
rnacentral:sRNA from 1 species